rnacentral:lncRNA from 1 species
GGGGGGGGGGGGCUCCAUACAUAGUUGCUGGAUGACACCCAAUGAAAUCUGUCUGGAUUCACUUUUGGGUACCCACUUUAAAGGAAAUAUCUAGUUGUCAAUUUUGUAGAACAAAAAUCAAGGCAGCUCAUGAACCAUAUGUGAAUGCUACAUUUCCUCAGAAUUCUCUCUCGGUCUGCUUCUGGGCUCUUCAGUAGGUUGGAAAAUAUUGAAGAUAGCUUGGUUUGUGCUUGGCUUUCUUUGUCUUACACGCGCGCACACAUUCCACUGAUGUAAUAUCAGACUGAAGGUUCAGUUUUCUUUUUCUCAGAAAUAUUUUUCUUCCUAGCAUAAUCUAAUGACUUUAAGAAUUUAUACAAAAGGAUCAGCAAGCAGUCUUCAACUACCAGUAGUGACGACCCGUGUGUGUGUGUGUGUGUGUGUGUGUGUGUGUGUGUGUGUGAGAGGCCAUCGAUGAGAGUAGAUGACAUUUAAUGGACUGUCUAGGAAGUGAGUAAUGACUCUUUGUUCCCCGUGUGCGGGAUGCCGCUGACUUUGUGGAGGGUAACUACUUUGUUUCUUCCUUCUAUGGUCCUGACAGAUGUAACUUUAACCAUUCAGACCCAGGUCUCUAAAAGUCAGAGAGUAAUUACAUCUGGAGUGAGAGGCUCUACAUUUUUGGGUUUUUAUCAAACUCAAAGUACACACUCUGCUAUUCAACCUAUGGUGUGCAUCUUGCCAGUGUCUAUAGCUGAGCCAGACUGGAUUGUUGUCAAAGAUACAGCUUAUGCUAGGUAUCCUUUUGACAUGAUGCAUGUGGAGUUUGUUUCUUUGUAGUGUUCUGUAUUGGCUAACACUAAAGAAUCCCAUCAUAAACUGAGUGCUUUUGUAAUAGAGACACCUCCUCCAAGAGUCUGUGCUUUGAUUAUCAUUUACUUCAAACUUGAGAGCAUACUAGGAGAUCUUUGAUUAUCCAAGAUCUUUAUCUCCCAUUAAGAAAAGUCAGUAAUGUUUUUGCAGAAUUACAUACUUGAGUGUGUCUUGAGUAUAACACAUUUAUUUCUCUUCAUACAGGAAACCACUAAUGAACUGACUGAGUCGGGUCUUAUCAAUAGAUGAAUCGGGUCUUAUUAAUUGACUAGUUCUAUCUUUUCUUUUCUUUUUUUUUUUCCUGCCACUGUUGGGGUGUGACAGAGAAGGCAGCAGUGGCUAGAACAUGUCAUUUUGCAACAACAUAUGGAGAACAAUAUGGUGUCCCAGCAUGGCUGAUUAAAAAUAGAGCAGUCUAAGGUCACUGACUUGAGCCUGUGAAACACCCAGACCUCCCGGGCUGUUAGUAGCAGCCUUAUACAACCCUUAGCCCUGGAGAGAAGUGGCAUGAGCCAGUGUACUUACUGUCUGAUUAGCAGAGAAAAACUGUUGAAAAACAAACAGAUAGCAUCUCUUCAUGCCUUUAAUCCCAGCACUGGGGAGGCAGAUUCAGGUGAAAUCUCUUGAGUUUUAGGCCAACCUGUUCUACAGAGCAAGUUCCAGGAUAGCUAGGGCUAUACAGAGAAACCCUGUCUCAAAAAACCAAAACAGAACAAAACAAAACAAAUCAAAA